rnacentral:rRNA from 1 species
UACAGAGGCCCCAAGCGUUACUGAGAAUCACUGGGUUUAAAGGGUGCGUAGGUGGCGCGUUAAGUCCGUUGUGAAAUCCCUUGGCUCAACCAAGGAAUGGCUUCGGAUACUGGCGUGCUUGAGGCCGGUAUGGGUCACUGGAACUGACGGUGGAGCGGUGAAAUGCGUAGAUAUCGUCAGGAACGCCAAUGGUGAAGACAGGUGACUGGGCCGGUUCUGACACUGAGGCACGAAAGCGUGGGGAGCGAACGGG